UACGUAGGGGGCUAGCGUUGUCCGGAAUCAUUGGGCGUAAAGCGCGUGUAGGCGGUCCGGUAAGUCCGCUGUGAAAGUCGGGGGCUCAACCCUCGAAUGCCGGUGGAUACUGGCGGGCUCGAGUGCGGGAGAGGCGAGUGGAAUUCCUGGUGUAGCGGUGAAAUGCGCAGAUAUCAGGAGGAACACCGAUUGCGAAGGCAGCUCGCUGGAACGUUACUGACGCUGAGACGCGAAAGCGUGGGGAGCAAACAGG
rnacentral:rRNA from 1 species